rnacentral:tRNA from 1 species
GGACAUAGCUUAGCAGUAAAGCGCUCGCCUAGCAUGUGUGAGAACUUGGGUUCGAUUCCUAGUAUCCA